ACGGAAGGCAGCAGUGGGGGAUAUUGCACAAUGGGGGAAACCCUGAUGCAGCGACGCCGCGUGAGGGAAGAAGGUUUUCGGAUUGUAAACCUCUGUCCUCAGGGACGAAGGAAGACGGUACCUGAGGAGGAAGCCACGGCUAACUACGUGCCAGCAGCCGCGGUAAUACGUAGGUGGCAAGCGUUGUCCGGAAUUACUGGGUGUAAAGGGAGCGUAGGCGGGUGUGCAAGUUGAUUGUAAAAGGCAGAGGCUCAACCUCUGUAUGCGAUCAAAACUGUAUAUCUUGAGUGAAGUAGAGGCAAUCGGAAUUCCUAGUGUAGCGGUGAAAUGCGUAAAUAUUAGGAGGAACACCAGUGGCGAAGGCGGAUUGCUGGGCUUUAACUGACGCUGAGGCUCGAAAGCGUGGGUAGCAAACAGGAUUAGAUACCCUGGUA
rnacentral:rRNA from 1 species